CCUUCGUAAGCCCUUGCUGGGCUUGAUUCUGGGUCAUUUCCUAGGAACCUAGAUAUGGACCUGGCCAGAGCCCAUCCACCUGGCCAUUAUUUAAUUAACACUUGCUUCAAAUGUGACUUUUAACUGUGAUAGUGUCUUAUUCUCGAUCGGUGGGAUUAACACUGGGAACUUAUCUUCUAGGGACUAAAGUCAGAGAGAAAUGGCUGGUGGGUGACAAGAUGGAUGCUUAGCAUACAAUGGAGCUUCUUUUGCUAUAAUUCCAACCUCUGGCAAGAUUGUUUCUGGAUGUUUCCCUCAUUUUAUGGCAAUGUAUGGCUUAAAACGGAGAGAUGAAAGCUGCCCAGGUUCUCCUGGUUCUGAUAUAGAACUGCCUGGAUUUAUUUUCCCAUCCUGGUGAUGGAACACAUUAGACACGGGUAAAAUUGAUUUCUACAGAGUCCGGACUUUGGAGCCCUCUAAAGCACAACAGACCUUUAGUGUUGGAUUUCAGUGCUCGGCUGAUUUAAUGCGUUCUGCUAACUGCACACAUGAGUGUCUGGUGCAAUCUUCCUGAAGCCACGCAGUUCACUCCAAAGAGACACUCUGGAGUCUGCAAUGUUUUUCUACAUCUCUUUUGUUUCUGGAGGACACCUUUAUCAGACCCAAGAAGAAACUGAAGCCUAAAAGAGGCAGAAGCCAAGGUCACCCAGAAGUCACAGGCAGCCUUCAGGAGAAGACAUUUCUAGGGUGCUUCACCCAAAUGAAUGGAAGAGAGAAGAAACAAAUUCCAGAAACACAGACUAGUACACUCAGAGAUGUAGUUCAAUCUGCUCACUGGAAAAACUACUCCUCAGUGAAAUUAUAGAUGAAAGCCAAGCAUUUACCUUCUGUGGCCUUCUUCUUACUUAGGAAACAGCAACAACAACCACCACCCAUGCGUACACAGCACUCAUCCCUUUCAGAAGUCAGUUCUUGUCUUCUAUCUUGUUGAGGUGGGAUCUCUCUUGUUCUGUGGCAGUGUUGCAUGCUCCCAGCCGGUUGGCUAAGUCUUCUCUCCCAUCUUGCCCUAUGAGUGUUGGAAUCACAUAUGAAUGUCACCAGAUCUAGCCCUGAAGGUUUUUUCCUCAUGGGGUCUUGAUGUCUAGAGGAAGCCAAGUAUCCUGCCUCUCCACACCAACUUGACCACUGC
rnacentral:lncRNA from 1 species